UACAGAGGUCUCAAGCGUUGUUCGGAUUCAUUGGGCGUAAAGGGUGCGUAGGUGGCGUGGUAAGUCGGGUGUGAAAUUUCGGAGCUUAACUCCGAAACUGCAUUCGAUACUGCCGUGCUUGAGGACUGGAGAGGAGACUGGAAUUUACGGUGUAGCGGUGAAAUGCGUAGAUAUCGUAAGGAAGACCAGUGGCGAAGGCGGGUCUCUGGACAGUUCCUGACGCUGAGGCACGAAGGCCAGGGGAGCAAACGGG
rnacentral:rRNA from 1 species